GUGUCUCUUUUCAUUUUUUUUUAUUUUUUAUUUAUUUUUUCAAUAGUCAGGAUUUAACAUCACCCUUACAGCACCACCUGACUAGGGUGUUACAGGGUUUCAAAUAUAUAACAACAAAAGACUAUUGUUUUAUCAAGAUUUACACAAACUAAAAAAUAAAUAUUUUGAAAAUCUUUUUUUUUCUCUCUCUCUCUUUCACACUCUCUCUCUCCUUCUUUCUCACUCUCUCUUUCUCUCUUUUUUCACAAUCUCUUCAUAUAGAAAUAUCUAUAGAUUAUUUUAAAAUAGAAGAAAAAAAAAAGAAGGUUUACAUGUGCUAUGCAUAUAUUACAUGUUGUUUGCUCUGUUCCAUAAAUAGGUCAAAAAGAUAUAUAUAUUGAUAUAAAUUUGGUUGUUAGAUUACCAUUCAGGAUAAAUAAUUAGCAUAGGGGCCCAAAGUUUUUCAAGUUCAAAAACUUUGUUGUAUUUUCUUGCUGUAUAUAACUCUAAGUUAUAAAAGUUUCUCAGUCUAUUUUUUAAUUCAAUUGCAUUUGGAAGCUUUUCUUCUAGCUUGCAUUUAUAUAUGUAUUUUUUGGCAAAAAUUACAAGAAAAUUUAAAAAUAAGCUUUCUUCUACAAAACCAAGAAAAAAGUUUUUUUUGUUAAAAUCAAUGUUAACAUAGAAAUUUUUCAGGCAAGCACAAAACAAAUAUAAAAAAUUUGAUGUCACUUGACAAUCAUAAAAUAAAUGUCCAAUAGUUUCAUCUUCACAUCUACAAAAAGAACAUAACUUUGUAUCUUUGAUUUUAAUCUUAUAUAAAAAUGUAUUUGUAGGAAUAGUCCUAUGUAAAAACUUAUAUUGGAAAUUAUACAAAUAUGUAUCUCUACAACCUUUCUGAAGUAUACAAAAGUAUUUCUUCCAGUCUUCAAUGUUAGAAUGCAGCUCAUCCUCCCAUUUUGAAAAUUUUACAACUGGAGGAUGUGCACAUUUUACAAUAAGAUUAUUAUAUAUGAAUUUGAUAUUUUUACUGCUAGUAAUUUUCUCCAAAAAAUUUUCCUGCGGAGUAAAAUUUUCUAAGUCAGUAUCAGUGUUUUCCCUAAUACACUGUUUUACCUCCAUAGGGAUAUUUGAUAUUAAACUGUAAUAGUGCAUAUAAUUAUUUGUCUGAACUUUUUGUUUAAUCUGAUCAAAUGUGAAAAAAUCUCUUCUUUGAUGGUCAAAAAUGUGACAGAGGUUUUGCACACCGGCAACUCCCCAUCUGUUAUAUAAUGGGAAAUCUUCUGUUUUCACAAAAUUCAAGAUAUCCAUCGAGAGACACUCCUUGACAUCAGUUUUAACAUGUGGUUUAGAUGAGUGUAAAGCUUGAAAAACAUCUUUCCAAAAAGGAUUGCUGAGUUGAUUUCCAAUCUCUAAAAAUUUGAAGUUUUGUAAAGAAAAAGAUCUUGCACCCCCAAAUUUUUUCAAUAUCAACUUAAGAAUAUUUUGCCAGUCCCCAUUCAAAUUUGAAAAAAAAUCGCCUCACCCAACCGACUUUAAGAUAAAAGUUGAAAGAUUGUAAAUGAACCAUUUUCAAACCUCCCUCCUUUUUAUCUGCAAUCAGUGUAUCACGUUUGAUUUUUUCUGUUUUUCCAUCCCAUAUAAAAUUAAAGAAUAAUCUGUUGAUUUCAUUCAACAUGGAUUGACAUAUAUUAGGUAAAGAUGUAAGCAAAUGAAUCAAUUUCGGAAGUGCAAGAGUCUUAAUAACAGUAACCUUGCCAAGUAGUGUUAGCUUCCUAUGCUGCCAACUUUUCAAUAAUUUUGAAAUAUCAAUGAUUUUUGCUCUGAAAUUCAAACUGGGCAUACACUCUAGAUCCAAAGAGAAAUUUAAUCCUAAAACCUUAAAGUUUGAACAGGACCAGCUUAGAUUUGUUUCAGGACAUAAAACCAAGUCAGAAUAUCUCUUACUUCCAAUCCAAACAACUUUUGUUUUAGUUGUAUUUAUCUUUAAUCCUGAGACUUUGUGAAAUUUUUCAAAACAAGAAAGGGUCUCUUUUAAUGAAUCUUCACUUCCAUCCAGUGUAAGAAACGUAUCAUCUGCAUACUGACUAAUGAGUGGCAGAUUCCCAUUUAUAUUCACCCCUUUUAUUUUUGGAUUCCCUUUUAGCUGUAUGGCAAGUAAUUCCACCCCAAUAAUAAACAAAUAGGGAGAUAACGGGUCCCCCUGGCGACAGCCUCUUUCAAGGUUGAAAAAUUGGGACAUAUUACCAUUAUUAAUGACACAGCUCUUUGCAUCUGCAUAAAGCACAUCAAACCAUUUACAAAAAGAAGGACCAAAAUUAAAACUAAUCAAAGCCUGCUUUAAAAAAUCCCAUUCUAUAGAAUCAAAGGCUUUUUCAAAAUCUACUAGUAAUAACAAUCCUUCUAUAUCAUUUUUUUCUAGAUAGUGCAUUAAAUCAUAUAGAAGUCUAGUGUUCUCUCCUAUGAAUCUCCCUUUCAUAAAGCCCUUUUGUGUGUCACUAAUAAUGGCGAACAGUACCUUUUUAGCUCUACCAGCAAGAACUGCAGAUGCAAUUUUCAUAUCUGUGUUCAUUAAGCUGAUCGGUCGCCAGUUACCCAUGUACCUCCUAUCUUUCCCUUCCUUAGGAAUACAAGUAAUAAUACUUUGGUAUUGAAAAUCUGAAAAAUGGCCCAACUCAUAUCCAAAUUGCAGAGAUCUAAAGACAAAUGGACCAAUAUCUUUCCAAAAAAAUUUGAAAAAAUCCACUGUAAAUCCAUCAGAUCCUGGAGACUUUCCAUUUUGCAUCUGUUUUAAAGCUUCCCCACAUUCCCUAAAAGAUAAGUUUCCCUCACAAAGAAGUUUUUGUUCUGCACUGAGUUUUAUGUCAUGUUUAAAAAAUUGAUUGUCAUCAUUACUGAAUGACUUAGAUGUAUAAAGUGUCCUAUAAAACUGCUCCUGUUCAAACAAUAUUUUAGAUUGAUCAGAAAUUUGAUUUCCUUGGUCAUCAAUGAGUUCAGUCAUGGUUUUAUUUAAGAAGGCUUUCUUUUCUAACUUACAAAAAUAGUUAGUGCAUCUUUCUCCAUUCUCAUGCCAAUUUACACGAGAACGGAGAAUAAGGCCCUCAACUAAUGUCUGUCGUCGCUUCUCUAAUUCACACUUUUUC
rnacentral:lncRNA from 1 species